ACCUCAGGCCAGUCCAUUACAGACUACAGCGGGGUGACACAGCUCAAGGAAGAACAUUUACGAUCAUUACUUUAUCAUUUCCUUGAAGUAAUAAUCACCAUAUUAAUCAUUUUACAGACGCGGUAGUUCCUCUGCCUUAGCGUCUUGGUCUGAUUGUAUUUCCAUAAAGAAAUGAUCAUAAAUGUUCUUCCUUGAGCUGCGUCACCCCGCUGUAGUCCGUAAUGGACUGGCCCGAGGUCUCACUACAAACAAGCAGCUGCUGGAAGAGAGUAGGUGAGUUGUGUUUAGUCUCUUUGUUAAAGAAAUGAGUCAAAGUUAAAAAGAUGUUUGGUGUCUAGUACUAUGGCUGUGACCCUAUAUGUCCUGUUGAUGAAGUUAGGUGCUG